rnacentral:rRNA from 1 species
GAUGAACGCUGGCGGCGUGCCUAACACAUGCAAGUCGAGCGAAGCACUUUGCUUGGAUUCUUCGGAUGAAGAGGAUUGUGACUGAGCGGCGGACGGGUGAGUAACGCGUGGGUAACCUGCCUCAUACAGGGGGAUAACAGUUAGAAAUGACUGCUAAUACCGCAUAAGACCACAGCACCGCAUGGUGCAGGGGUAAAAACUCCGGUGGUAUGAGAUGGACCCGCGUCUGAUUAGCUAGUUGGCGGGGUAACGGCCCACCAAGGCGACGAUCAGUAGCCGGACUGAGAGGUUCGGCCGGCCACAUUGGGACUGAGACACGGCCCAG